rnacentral:rRNA from 1 species
CCUUUGACGUUAGCGGCGGACGGGUGAGUAACACGUGGGUAACCUACCUAUAAGACUGGGAUAACUUCGGUAAACCGGAGCUAAUACCGGAUAAUAUUUCGAACCGCAUGGUUCGAUAGUGAAAGGUGGUUUUGCUAUCACUUAUAGAUGGACCCGCGCCGUAUUAGCUAGUUGGUAAGGUAACGGCUUACCAAGGCGACGAUACGUAGCCGACCUGAGAGGGUGAUCGGCCACACUGGAACUGAGACACGGUCCAGACUCCUACGGGAGGCAGCAGUG